UGGGGAAUUGUUCGCAAUGGGCGCAAGCCUGACGACGCAACGCCGCGUGGAGGAUGAAGAUUUUCGGAUCGUAAGCUCCUUUCGAUCGGGACGAAUCGGUCGCGACCUAACACGUCGUGGCACUGACGGUACCGAGAGAAGAAGCCCCGGCUAACUCCGUGCCAGCAGCCGCGGUAAUACGGGGGGGGCAAGCGUUGUUCGGAAUUACUGGGCGUAAAGGGCGCGUAGGCGGCCUACUAAGUCGGACGUGAAAUCCCUCGGCUCAACCGGGGAACUGCGUCCGAUACUGGUGGGCUUGAAUCCGGGAGAGGGAUGUGGAAUUCCAGGUGUAGCGGUGAAAUGCGUAGAUAUCUGGAGGAACACCGGUGGCGAAGGCGGCAUCCUGGACCGGUAUUGACGCUGAGGCGCGAAAGCCAGGGGAGCAAACGGGAUUAGGAUACCCCGGUAGUCCUGGCCCUAAACGAUGAGUGCUUGGUGUGGCGGGUAUCGAUCCCUGCCGUGCCGAAGCUAACGCAUUAA
rnacentral:rRNA from 1 species